rnacentral:rRNA from 1 species
AAUAGAUACCCAGGUAGUCCACCCCGUAAACGUUGGGAACUAGUUGUGGGGUCCUUUCCACGGAUUCCGUGACGCAGCUAACGCAUUAAGUUCCCCGCCUGGGGAGUACGGCCGCAAGGCUAAAACUCAAAGGAAUUGACGGGGACCCGCACAAGCGGCGGAGCAUGCGGAUUAAUUCGAUGCAACGCGAAGAACCUUACCAAGGCUUGACAUACACCAGAACACCCUAGAAAUAGGGGACUCUUUGGACACUGGUGAGCAGGUGGUGCAUGGUUGUCGUCAGCUCGUGUCGUGAGAUGUUGGGUUAAGUCCCGCAACGAGCGCAACCCUCGUUCUAUGUUGCCAGCACGUAAUGGUGGGAACUCAUGGGAUACUGCCGGGGUCAACUCGGAGGAAGGUGGGGAUGACGUCAAAUCAUCAUGCCCCUUAUGUCUUGGGCUUCACGCAUGCUACAAUGGCCGGUACAAAGGGCUGCAAUACCGUGAGGUGGAGCGAAUCCCAAAAAGCCGGUCCCAGUUCGGAUUGAGGUCUGCAACUCGA